UACUUACUAAUUUUUUCCCACAUCUAACUCCUGAUAUUUUAGUUGCUGUUGUGAUUUUGAAAUGUUUCAUUCCUUAAAUUUUAUUUUAGAUCCAAGAGGUAUCUAUGCAGGAUUGUUACCUGGGUAAAUUGUGUCACUGAGGUUUGGUGUAUAAAUGAUCCUGUCACCAGGUAAUGAGCAUAGUACCUGACAGGUAGUUUUUUAACCUUUGUCUCCCUCCCCCCAUGCCAGUGGUCCCCAUUGCCUAUUGUUCCCACCUUUAUGUCCAUAUGUACCCAAUGUUUAGCUUUCACCUAGCAGUGAGAAUAUUGGGCAUUUGAUGCUUUAUUCCUGUGUUAAUUCAUUUAGGAUAAUGGCCUCCAGCUGCAUACAUGUUUCUGCAAGGGGCAUGGAAUACUACAUAACCAUUAUACCAUGGAAUACUACACAGCCAUAAAGAAGGUCUUUUGCCAAUGGCUUAAAACUGCAAUUCCACAGGCUGUACAUGAAGCAUGGCUAGGGAGGCCUCAGGAAAACUUACAAUUGCGACAGAAGGUGAAGAGGAAUGAAGCAUGACCUACAUGGCUGGGGAAGGAAGAAGAGCAGAAACAGGCGAUGCUACAUACUUUAAAACAACCAAGUCUUGUCAGAACUCACUGUCAUGAGAACAGUAAGGGGAAGGGAAAAUCUGUACCUGUAAUCCGAUCACCUCCCACCAAGGCUCUCCUCCAACAUUGAGAAUUACUGUUUGACAUGAGAGUUGGGUUGGUGCACAAAUGCAAACCAUAUCAGCAUGAUUUCAAGCUUUGAAGUUUAUUGAGAUUUGCUUUAUGGUCAAGAAUGUGGUCCAUAUUAGAAUAUGCUCCCAUAUGGAGAUAUACUUCCUGAUUUUUACAUUAUUAUUUUAAAUUCUUCUAGUUCUCAUCUCUAAUCCUGUCAAUAAUAUGAUUAUACUGUAAUUCAUUGAUUCAUGAGUUUAGUUUUAGUUACAUUAACUUGUUACUCUCUGUGUAGAGGCUCUGCUAUAUGAUGAAAACUUGGUGUGCCUGCACCUCCCUCUACUUUGUUUGCUCCCUGUAUUUUUCUGACCUCGGCCAUUAUAAAAUAUUAUUAACAUCUCAGAGAACUAUUCAUAUUUGAUCUCCAUUUCUUAAUUGUGACUACAAAGACCCAUAUGAGAUGAUUUCUAUUCUACAAUCACCAUUAUUAUCCUUUGAUUUCUCUACUGGUACUUUCUGAAAUAAUAUAAACAGAAUGUAAUAUAUUGUCAUACAUACUACCUCACUUAAUAAUUUGACACAAAAUAAUGAAAAUUCUCCUAAAACUAUGAUACCUGAAAAUAAUUAUUAAACAUCAGGUUCCAAUCUAUUCAUUUAUAUACUCCACUUAUUCAAACACAAAAAAGGUGUUCCAAACAGUUGGAGUCAACUACAGAUUUUUAUUACUCUCUUUUAUAAACUACCUUUCUUUUAUUUAUUAAAAUAUACCAG
ensembl:lncRNA